UUAAAAGCAACAGUAAAAGAACUUGUUUUAGAUUAUGAAGUUUUGGUAUAAAUUUUUCUUUUUCUUUUUUGAGAUAUAUAUAUAUAUAUAUAUACAUGUGAAUUUUCAUUUAAAUGAAAAGUUGUUUUACAAACUAAGUUUAACAGCUUAGAAUCAAUUAAAUUUUCUAAAAAAUGUAAAUAAAUCAAACUAAAACUAACAAAUAAAAAUUUUUUAUAUUUGCAUACAAAAUCCAAAAACUUUGAACGCACCCUUAUGUUCGUUUACCACACAUUGAUU
rnacentral:lncRNA from 1 species